rnacentral:lncRNA from 1 species
GUGGCGCCACCUCUGUUUGUAAACUCCAAUCCAGAGCUGUAGUUGUUUCUCCUUUUGGCCCUACACUGUAGAACCAAAGCCGUGCCCAACAGAAGUAGCCUCACCCUGAGUGUCUGAAGCCAGUAUACACGUGAUGAAUUGUUUCCAGCUCAGGAGGUAUGAAACAUCAUAUUAUCAGGAAUAGAAGAACAAACUUCUAAAAGUUCUAGUUUAUAUCAUUCUCUACAGGAAUAUGCUCAAGAAGGACACUUUGCAGCCCAGUAGAAAAGAAUAUGCAAUCAAUCUGUGGGGAACAAAGUCAAUAUUUUGGAAAAACGAAACCUAGCUUAAGAGGAAAAGCCAUUCAUUCAUUUAUGUCCACAUCAACUGUUCACUGAGUGUCAAGUACUUACGUGGUAGUGGUUGUCACUACAGGAACCUAAGCUUUGCUUCCUAUCAGACUCACACGUGUUCAGGCAUAACUUGAGGGACUGGCAGGGAGCAGGCAGGAAUAAGUGUUUGCAUGGAGGAUCAGAAAACCUCCUUGAAAAAUAAAAAUUCAUCCUAGGGGGAAAUAAAAGGUCGAGAAGGGUGAGUUCGGUUAAAGGGAUGCUGGCAAAUCCUAAAUCCAGAAGGAAGACGAGAUUCUGAGCAUGCCGCGUGCCUCUGAAAUGUGACAUCAUCCAAAUCUCAUUAUCUAACAUGAUUAAAGUUGUUGGAUGUCAGGGCUGAAUCAUAAGCGAGCAUGUGCGACUCAGAAGAGCCAGUGCUCUGUGAUUGCUGUGAGGCGAGAAGAGACGAGCAGGAGGCAUUGGCAACGUUGGGGCCAUGGUGCUUGCAGCAUUAGUGGCACACAGAACUGGCAAGGAUCAUGAUGGGGAUGCCAGCCCCAGUGACGGCUGCUGCUUCUGUGACCAAGGCACUGAGAAACAUGACCUUGGCAAUGCCAAUGUAAUCGCUACAUUCCCCUCUCCUGUCCUUUUAGGAUGGCACCAUAGAAGAAAAGAAGAGCCAGUGAGAAUUUCUCCAUUUCCUUCCUAGAUGAUUAAAUUCUUUUCUAAAGC